rnacentral:lncRNA from 10 species
CGGGGCCCGGGCUUCCGGGACGGGCUGGACGGACAGGCCUGAGGGGCGCGGCCCGGGGACGCGGGAGGGGGCGUGGGAGGCGGAAGUCCCAGGAGAGCCUCUGGGGACUCCAGGGCCGCGGGAGCGGUUGUGGGUGCGGGGUCGGGAUUUGCAUUUCCCGCGCUGGGCCGGCGGACGCCCGAGGCCUGCAGGAGACCCGGGGCCCAGGGCUCGGAGUCCAGGAGGUGAUUCGGGAGGGCCUGGGACGGCCCCGGGGCCAGGGGUCGAGCCGAGAGCGGCCGCCGCCGUCCAGUCCCACCCGACAAGGACUUCAGAGCGCUGACCGCAGGGGGCACAGGGUACCAGAAGGUUCCGCCCUGCAUGCUUCCAGCUUGGCUGAGAAAGGAGCUGCCGGCCAUGGAGGCUGUCGGGAAAGCGCCCUGACGAUGAGAGAUGCACGAGGGUCCUCGGGGGUGUCCUCAGGAAGGAGCUGAGCAGGUCCUCAGCUCGCCCCACCUCCCCGACAGGUGCACACCCGGCGGGGGCUGAGGUGGGCCCUCCUCUGUCUCCGUGGCCUCCUUGGUACCAUGAGCACAGGGCCUGGUCAUGGACACCUUCAGCCAGGAGUGUCCCUUCCAGAAAGGGGGAGCCGCCCGGGAAGGUGUUCCGGCGUGCUCAGUCCUUCAGUGACAGCACUGUGACCACUCCAGGUGCCUGGCACAGGCAGAGGUGGUGGCCGCCAGAGCUGGGGGACGCUCCCAGGGUGUAAGGCCAAGGCCUUGGUCAGGAGGACGUGAUGCUUGGUGUCACUGGGGCAGUGCUCCAGAGAGGCUCUGCACGGGGUCACCCUGCUGGCGAUCAGCUGCAGAGGAGCCCUGCCCGUGGACCCGGGAUUUGUGGGGGGCACUUCUGCCGGGCGGGGGGUCGGUGUCCAGGUGCUGCAGGGCACAGGGUGAGUGCCCAUUGUGCCCUUGGUGGGUGCCGACUCCGCACUCAGCUCUGUGCUGAUGAAGAGAACCCGCUCUUGUCCCGAAGGACUUAGGCCUGACCCCCGAGAAAAGGCCGGCACACAAAAACACCAGGGGUCAGGUGCUCAGGCCUCUAAUCCCAGUACGUUAGGAGACCAAGGCCGGAGGAUGGCCUGGGGCCUCAAGUUCAAGACCAGCCGGACAGCACAGCAAGACCCUGUCUCCACAAAAAUAAAAAAAUUGGGCCAGGAGUGGUGGCUCACUUUGGGAGGUCGUGGCAGGCAGAUCAUGAGGUCAGGAGUUCAAGACCAGCCUGGCUGACGUGGUGAAACCCCAUCUCUACUAAAAAUGUAAAAAAUUAGCCGGGCGUGGUGGUGUGCACCUGUAUUCCCAGCUACUCAGGAGGCUGAGGCAGGAGAACCACUUGAACCCAGGAGGUGGAGGUUUCAGUGAGCCGAGAUUGCACCACAGCACUCCAGCCUGGGCCACAGAGUGAGACUCAAAAAAAAAAAAAAAUAGCCGGUGUGGUAGUGCGUCAUGCAGCCUCAUCCAGCCUCUGAGGAACUGCAGAGACAGAGGGCAGAUGGUUCAGAGGUGCAGGCCGGGGUUGGCUCACCUGCCAGCGGCUCCGGGCCCCAACCUCCUUGGCAGCCUCUGCCUCACCUGCUCACGCGGCCCUCGGGCAGCCCAGGCUGUGGGCACCAAGGGGUCCUGCCGGCUUCUCAGGCAGCAGAGUCCUCCGGGUCCUGAGUGUGGUGUGCCUUGGGAACAUGCGGGAGGCAGAGAAGAACAGGAAGGGAUUGAAACCGCUCCCUCCACCCACUCCUGCCCGAGGCACCAGAGGCAGCCUCAAAAAAAGCAAAAGGUCCAGCCUUCUGUGGAUCUCAGGGAUGCAGGAGGGGAGGCCAGGGUGGGGACAAAGGCGGGGACCAAAAAGCCGUGUGGGUUCUAGAACAUUCCUAGCUGGGCCUUGAUCCGUGGCACCGUCGAGGGGUGUGGCCCCUCCGGGGAGGCUGGAGAGGUGAGCUGCAGUCAGGAACCGACGGGCCCCUCUGCGGGCACUGAAGGCCAAAGAUCUGACUAUCAGCCUCUGGCCACAGGGCUGGGUGGCCCAGGGCCCCCACAGCAUGAGGGUUCAGGGAGGAAUGGCAGAAACCCCCCGCUGGGAACCAGGAGACCCCCAGCUCAUCACUCCCUGAUCUUGGGCACGCUGUCCUCAGCCCUUCCUGUGCCUCAGUUUCCCCUCUGUGACAUGGAGAUGGGAGGUUUGUUGUGAGGAUUUGUGAUGGUGAAUCUGGGCCAAAGCUGUGGUAGCCCUGCAGGGAGGACCCCGAGGACCCCACUCACCUGGAGAGGCUGGCCGCCUGGCAUUUGCAGGGCUAGGGCUAGGGCUGGGCCAGGGGACUGGCGGCUGCUCAU